rnacentral:lncRNA from 1 species
UCAAAGACAUGGACCUAAAUUCAGCGACCAUUGGAACAAUUAAUUGGUUAAAUUUAUUAUUAGUGUUAAGAGAUAAUUGCAGCAAAAACUCCUAAUCGUUGAAGCACUAGUAGAUUUUUUUCAAAUAUUUCAUCUGUUACAUACGCCAUCUCUAACCCUUUCAGCCAUUGUAGGUGAGACCAUUUUGGAUUGUUUCCGUCCAAAGUUGACCACCAAAAUAAGUUUUGACCACUUUCUACCAAAAUAAGGGAGGGCAAAAUGGUAACUUAAUAUUUUUACCAUAAAACUAGUAAAAAAAAAAAUUGAAUAAAAAACAAAAUGGGUUGUGCACAAUCAAGAAUGCACAAUGAUGAAUCAGUGUCAAUCCGACGCCACCUUGAGCGACUACGGUAUCGUGAGGUGUCGUCGCGCCCGCCAGCUAUAGUAGUGUCCCCGGAGAUCUAACUCUUAUGGAGCAACUCCCGCCUUUUGUGGUGGAGUCCAGUGUGCCUCCUCCGCCACUCUUGAGCUUUUCCCCUCUCCCACCCAUUUUACAUUCAAUGACCAUACCUACUGCGCUCUCUCACUCGAAGAAAAUGAAGAGAAAAAAAAAUGAAAGGUAUUGCUAUUGAUGAGAGUGAUAAAGAAGAGAAAUGAAGGCUUAAUAGAAUGAAAAAAAAGGAUCGAGGAGGUGGGCCCCGAAAUCCCAAUAAGAAUCCCUAAUCUUCCUUCGCCACUAGUCCUCAAAAUCAUGGCCUGGGAUUACUUUUUCAUGGGAGACAAUAUGCUUGGUCAAUCAUUGGAGGAGGUGGAGGAAGAAGACGAUGAGGAGCAUUAUAUGGGAGGACAAAAGGGCACUAAAAAUGGGCAUUUCAAAAAGUAACAAUAACAUGGAGUUCAAGACGGCGGAGAAAAAUAUGGGAUUCCCAACACAUCCUACGGCAACCUUAGUUUAUAUUACAUAUGCAUUGGAGGGUUUUUCUCUUAUCUCUAUACAUAUGUGUCUAUAUAUGUAUUUGAGGAUGUGAAUGGACAAUAGAUUCUAGGUGUGCCGAUGGUU